GACGUAGGGCGCGAGCGUUGUCCGGAUUUAUUGGGCGUAAAGAGCUCGUAGGCGGCUUGUCGCGUCGGCUGUGAAAACCCGCGGCUCAACUGUGGGCGGGCAGCUGAUACGGGCAGGCUGGAGUUCGGUGAGGGGAGACUGGAAUUCCUGGUGUAGCGGUGAAAUGCGCAGAUAUCAGGAGGAACACCGGUGGCGAAGGCGGGUCUCUGGGCCGAUACUGACGCUGAGGCGCGAAAGCGUGGGAGCAAACGGG
rnacentral:rRNA from 1 species